rnacentral:sRNA from 1 species
AUAUUGUUUACCAUAUUUACAUGUUUCAUCGAAAUCUUCAAAUUAUUGUUUAUCUAAUCUUCGAUUUGCUUUUAAUCGACGAUAGUUUGAAGAUUUUUGUUCUUCUAUUGAUGUUCUCCUCCGUCUGUCAACUUUAACGAAACGAUGCCGCAGAGACUGAGAGGAGGAGGAAAUAUUCUGCGAUUCUUCUACACGGCAACGAUUCUGGUCAGUUUCUACACGACAAUGAUUCUGGUUAGUUUAUACACGGCAACGAUUCCGGUCAUUUCGUUAAUAUCUCUGUAUAGUCCCACCUAUUAUUUCUCCUUAUUGUAUAUGAAACAAAAAGAGAUUCCAAAAGUAGCAAAAAAUAUGUCGUCAUCUCCUCCGAACAAAACCGAUCCACCAAACAAAAUUGAAACACAAAAA